UUCGGGUGAGGGGGAGAAGGAAAAGGAAAACCGAGAAAGCAAGAGAGGAGAUUGAGAGAGGGAGAGGCUGCGAAGGGAAAAGAAAAGAGGUUCUGAAGGAGGAGGAAAGGGGGGACUUGGGGAAAUCUGGGAGAAAGCUUGGGUGCCAAACAAGAGAGAACAGGUUUCGGUAGAGAGCAAAGAAAAAAGAAACCAGGGGAAAAGAUAGAACCAAACGGGGAGCAAAGGAGAACGGAAAGAGAGAGAGGGUUUGGGGAAGAUCAGGGAAGCAAGAAAACUAAGGAGCUUCGGGCCAAGAAAGGAAAAGAAACAAGCAAGGGCAGUGAGGAAAAGGAAGAAAGAGGGUUUCAAGGAAGAAAAAACGCAGGAGGGAAAAGGGAAGAGAGCUGGAGGGAGGAAAAAAAGCUGGUGAGAGCUUCGGGAAAGAUCUGGGGGAAGAUGGAGGGCUUGGAACAAACAAGAAAGAGAGAGAGGGGCAGCGGGCAAAGAAAAAGCAAGAAACAAAAGAAAGGCAAAGAAAAAGAAAGAGAAAAGAGGGUUUUCUGGGAUAGGAAAGGAAGAGAGGAUCGGGGGAGAGUUUAAGAUUGAGGAGAAAGUCGGCGGAGCAAGGAAAAUAGAGAAAAAGAGAAAUCGGGGAAGAAAAAGGAAGAAACAGAAAAAUUUUCUGGGAAAAAUCUGAGGGCCAGGUUGAGCCGUCAGCUUUGUUCAUCGUCAAAUUCCUAUCUUUUUUUGGAGCUCUUGGAGCGGAUUCUUGUUUCUGCACCUUUUGGGGAGGGAUCUGAAUAACUUUUAUUCAGAAACUAUUUGGAAAAAAUGACACCAAGUCUGUUGAAUCGGGCCUCCAAAUUCCAGCUCCACCAUCGCUGAAAUUUCGACGGCAAAGUUCUCUUAAGCUUAGUUUCCAGAAUCGGUGCAAUUUUUGGGAGUAUUUUCAAUUUCGUUUCACUUUACUAAGGUUCUAAGGUAACCACAGCUUCUCCUUUUGUUGUUUUAACACUAGUUUUCAUGAGAAUCCAAGUCCGUAAGACAUGAAUCUUGAGAUAUUUUUUGCUGCUGGUUCGGUGAACAUGCUCCCUGACUUUUAUCAUGUGCUGCUUUCUGAUGUUUCCCCGGUUGUGGGUUUUUUUUUUGUGUUUGUGCAAAUUUUGAUGUUGGGUUCAAAGUAAAAGGUAUAAGUUGCACGUUUUGCUAGUUUGGAAACUGAUUUGCAUGACUUAUCCGUUUGGUAAUGAAACCAGAAAAUUGCAGAAAUUUCUUGCCGAAAAUUUGCAUGCUUGGAUGAUUGAAUUUCCGUGAUUUCGUUGCUUAAGAUCAAAGUUUGAUGUUUGGUUCAGAUUUUAGUUUUGUUUAGCGAAGAGAAACUUGUACACUUGCACUGAAAACUCAGGAAUUUGGAAGAAAGCUUCGUGCGUUCUUAUGUUUUGCUGUUUUUCUUCCCGCGACAGCCCACCAAGUAGGUUUCAUCGCCUGAUGGGUUAUUUAAUCUUGUGCUUGAAAGAAGAAAUUGGGUGAUUGAUGUUGGGGUCGUGUGUUUUUGGUCCAAAGCUACAUAAAUCAGGCUCAAAUGUUUGCUGGGUAGAUAAGUUUCCAUAGAAAACCCAGAAACUGGUGGAAAGUUGUUUUGAAUAAACCUGGAUUUGCAAGCUUCUCCCCACGUUACUGAUUUGCCUCUCUCUUGUGUGCAUAACAUGGUAUCUUGAUGAUGAGCUUAUGAAACUUAAUGGGAACUUGGAGGUUGGAUCUUUGUUGUUGUUAAAUUUUUUUGUUGUUUGGCCGCAUAAGUUUGUUGAAAGGCUUCAGAAGUUGCAGGAAAGUUUCAGAAGAAGAAAUCUCCAUCGCAGCUUGCAUGCAAAUAAAACAAAAUUGCAUUUUAACCCCUCAAGUUUCCCUUUGUUUCAUUCUGGCCCAAAAAUAUGGAAAAAUCAAUCAUUUUACCAUUGUUGAAACUCAAUCAUUUUUCCAUGGUCCAACCAUGUUGUAGGCAAGUUUAUUUCCUGGUUUUAGGAGACAAUUAGAGUUUAAUUAGUUUUUAGAGCUUUUAUUUUGCUUUGAUUCGACCACUCAAACUUUUUUUAAUUAGUUCAAUUAGGGCCUUGAUUGUUUUAAAUUCUUGAAUAUAGGUUGUUUACUUUCAUUUAAAUGCCUUGAUUGAUUAUUUCAUCUCUUAUGAUUAUUUGUUAAUUAAAGUGAUGCCUUGACUUUUUUUUUUUUUUGUUUUGGAGGGUAAAUAAGAAAAAUUUCAUUUCAUUAGGUCACCAGUUCAAGAGAG
rnacentral:lncRNA from 1 species